AAUCAAGUGCCUUAAGGGUGUUCGGUGGAUGCCUUGGCGCUGAGAGGCGAUGAAGGACGUGCUACGCUGCGAUAAGCCGUGGGGAGCUGCGAGAGCUUUGAUCCGCGGAUUUCCGAAUGGGGAACCCACCUUCGAUAGCCGGAACUCCAAGACCUUGUGUGUUGGGGUUCGACCAGAAAUGCGAGAAAUCAAACCGCGAGGUUUUGGAUUUCCGGUUAUCAAGAGAAGGUAUGAGACCUCCGAAUAAAAUAGGAGGUUUUAAGCAAACCCAGGGAACUGAAACAUCUAAGUACCUGGAGGAAAGGACAUCAAUCGAGACUCCGUUAGUAGUGGCGAGCGAACGCGGACCAGGCCAGUGAUACAUCAAAGACAAUCGGAACCUGUCAGGAAAGCAGGGCCUCAGAGGGUGAUAGCCCCGUACGAGUAAUGCGAUGAUGUAUCCACGAGUAAG
rnacentral:rRNA from 1 species